ensembl:lncRNA
CAUUUAAAGCGUGCGCUCCCCGCGCCCUUCCGCCUGACGUAGCCCCGCCACUCUGGGAAAGUAACGGCCCCUUCCCCGGCGCCGCCCGCCCCUCGUCAACCCGGCUCCGGAAGGCAGGCCCCGCCCGCGGGGGUUCCGGAAGAAGCCGAGGCCUCGGAGCACGCGGCCGGCUCUAGCUGCGCCAGGGCAGGGACCUCGAUCGCCGGGACUGGGCGGGCGCUGUCCCCUCUGGGACCCCCAAGUCUGCACCAACAGAGGUGGCCGUGGGGCACAGGUCCCCCUCCCCCGCCCCCUGGUCCCAGAGGCACACACUCGAGGCGCUGGUUAUUCCGCCACCCAUUCUGCGCGGGGCGCAAGGCAGCUCCGAGCUCUCUUUGCAGCAUGGUGAGCCUGAGCGCCCAGCUCCCCAGAGCUGAGCUCGGAGGAAGGGGCGGGCUCCUUCUCUAGAUCCUUGCCACCCUCCUCCACAGGCAGACACACACACACACACACACACACACACACACACACACGCUCGCACUCACGAAUGCAAACACACUUCGAUUAUUCCAUUCUGGUUCUUCCCUUCCCUAGAUGUCUUCUUUAUGUUUGCCUCCUCACUCCCCUACCCAAGUCCCUCGGGCACCAGGCACCCCCAUUCAUGUUCUGAAGAGUGUCUUUUGGAUAUGGCACUAACAACAACAACAAUAAUAAUAAUAGCUACCAUCUGGAGAGCUUUACUCCAAGCCAACCAUGAGCUCUGUUUUACAUAUAUUAUCCUGUUUAAUCUUCACAGCAGUAGCCCUAUAAGGAAAGGCAUGGAAAUGAACAAGAAAGGUAGAAAAACCAAGGCACAGAGAAGCCGAGAAAACUUGCCCCAAGGCCCCACAGCAGGAAGAAGCAGGGCGGAGAUUCAAACCCCAGCAGCAUGGCUCCUGAGCCCUCACUCUAACCCACUACACUACAGUGGUUUGCCCUGAGAUGGACAAAGACAGAACCAGCCAUGUGACAAGCCGGAGUUUCACGCUUGUUACCCAGGCUGGAGUGCAAUGGCACGAUCUCGGCUCACCACAACCUCCGCCUCCUGGGUUCAGGCAAUUCUCCUGCCUCAGCCUGCUGAGUAGCUGAGAUUAUAGGCAUGCACCACCAUGCCCAGCUAAUUUUUUGUAUUUUUAGUAGAGACGGGGUUUCACCAUGUUGACCAGGAUGGUCUCAAUCUCUUGACCUCAUGAUCCACCCACCUCGGCCUCCCAAAGUGCUGGGAUUACAGGCUUGAGCCACUGUGCCCGGCCUCCAGUUUAUGUUUUUCAAAACCCAUUGUGGAGCCCAGGCAUGGUGGCUCACACCCAUCCCGACACUUUGGGAAGCCAAAGUUGGAGCCCAGGAGUUGGAGACCAGCCUGGGUAACAUAGUGAGACCCAGUCUCUAUAAAAUAAUAAUAAUAAUAAUAAUACUCACUCUGGCUGUUGUAUGGAGAGAAGCUGGGAAAGGAGCAGGGAGCUCACUUGGAAGAAUAUUACAUGACCCCACAACACACUGAAAGCUUGGAUUAGGGUAGAGGCAAUGAUGAUGUAGGAAAUGGUCACUUUUGGGAUUUCCCUGAAGAUAGAAUUGAGAGAACUUGCUGAUGGAUUAGAUGGGAGCUGCAGGUUGGGGAGGGAUCAAGGUUGACCUCUGGCUGGGCAUGGUGACUCAUGCCUGUAAUCCCAGCACUUUGGGAGGACAAGGCAAAUGGAUUGCUUGACAUGAGGAGUUCAAGACUAGCCUGGACAACCUGGUGAAACCCAUCUCUGCUAAAAAAUACAAAAAUUAGCCAGGCGUGGUGAUGUGUGCCUGUAAUCCCAGCUGCUCAGGCUGAAGCAUGAGAAUCACUUGAACCUGGGAAGUGGACGUUGCAAUGAACGAAGAUUUCACCACUGCCUUCCAGCCCAAGUGACAGAGUGAAAUCCUGUCUCAAAAAAUAAAAAAUAAGUUGACUUGUAUGUAUUUGCUUGAGCAAGUGUGUGAUGAUGGUGCCACUGAUACACAGGUGAAUGUGUUGGGGAAGAGAAGGGUCGGGGGGGGGCAUCGUGGAGUCUGCUGGCUGCUUAUCAAAACCCACCACCCACUUGAACAUGACCUGAAAUGCUCACAUCAGAACUAUAUUACAUGAGAGAAAAAGCAAUUUCUAUAAUCGUAAAACCACUGUAUUUUGUAGCUUCUUAUAGAAAUUCGUACCAGGAGUGGGAAACUAGAUAAAAGCCCUCAAAUAUGUGGCACUGGCUUAGCCAAUAGGUGGAGAGCAAGACAGAAACAGAUAUUAGAGGAUGGGAAGCUGGUGAACCUUGUUAAGCUGGGACAAAACAUUUAUUGCAAAUGUCACCUGUGAUCAUUUGGAAGACAGCCCACAUGCCUAUUGAGCCUGUAAUUCUAGAAAAAUGGUUGGAAAGGGCCAAAGCCAUUUGCAUGUGUUGGCUGCUUGAUGCUGCUUUUAGCAAAAUCAUAUAAGACAGAGAUUGGCCAGCUUGCAAGAAGCGACAGAAAUACAGAGAAUUCAGAAAACUGGUGUCCUUGGGGUUGGAAAAGCCAACUGGUUUUGUCCAGAGAGCAGGAGGUCAGACUGUCAUGGCUCAGAGCCUCUCCCAAAGCCCGUCUCUUAGGCCAAACUUUAAACCAAACAAAGAAAUCGCCCCUGUGGCAAAGUAUUAUAUUAACAGUAUUCCCUUGCUAUCCAAGUCUCAUUUAGGAUGUCCUUAGCAUAAACUUCAUUCUAUUUAUUAUUUUAUUUUUACUUGUAUUUUUAUUUUUGAGAUGGAGUCUUGCUCUGUCACACAGGCUGGAGUGCAGUGGUGCAAUCUCGGUUCACUGCAACCUCCACCUCCUGGGUUCAAGCAAUUCUUCUACCUCAGCCUCCUGAGCAGCUGGGAUUACAGGCAUGUACCACUAUGCCCGAUUAAUUUUUGUAUUUUUUGUAGAGACAG